GUUUUGGUGAGAUCCGGGGUCCGUGGUAAUUGGACGGGCAGACGGUAAUCAGUGGUGAAAGUGAGCAGGCAUUCCCCGGGGCAUUUAAAGUCUUCAGUGGGGGAGAAGCUGAUUGCAGGCUGACAGGAAACGGUGUGCUUUUGCAGAAGCGAAACCGAAACCAGAGCGAGUGCAAGCCAUAAUAAAGAGGAGAUAAGCGACAGCGAAGGCGGGCUAACAGGAAGCAUCAGCCGUCGACACGAAGAUGAUGUUCUAUGUUAAAAGUCAUUGUGGUUUUGGUGUGACGUAAAUCUGCCUAGUAACAGAAAAGGGGGCUGUACAAUUCUUAACCCCAUAAAACAGUUGUCUGAAUAUGAGAAAGACAGUUCAACACUGAUUGGGUUGUUGAACUCACACAUGUGUUCAUUAAAAUGCC
ensembl:lncRNA